rnacentral:rRNA from 1 species
GACGAACGCUGGCGGCGUGCUUAACACAUGCAAGUCGAACGGAGAGGCCCCCACCUUUUGGUGGGGGUGCUCGAGUGGCGAACGGGUGAGUAACACGUGGGUGAUCUGCCCUGUACUUCGGGAUAAGCUUGGGAAACUGGGUCUAAUACCGGAUAGGACCAUGGUUUAGUGUCUCAUGGUGGAAAGAUUAUUGUUUUGGUGCAGGAUGAGCUCGCGGCCUAUCAGCUUGUUGGUGGGGUAAUGGCCUACCAAGGCGUCGACGGGUAGCCGGCCUGAGAGGGUGGACGGCCACAUUGGGACUGAGAUACGGCCCAGACUCCUACGGGAGGCAGCAGUGGGGAAUAUUGCACAAUGGGCGCAAGCCUGAUGCAGCGACGCCGCGUGGGGGAUGACGGCCUUCGGGUUGUAAACUCCUUUCGUUAGGGACGAAGCCGCAC